AGAUUAAGUUAUUAAGGGCGCACGGUGGAUGCCUUGGCACUAGAAGCCGACGAAGGACGUUACUAACGACGAUAUGCUUUGGGUAGCUGUAAGUAAGCGUUGAUCCAGAGAUUUCCGAAU
rnacentral:rRNA from 1 species